rnacentral:rRNA from 1 species
GGGGAAUAUUGCGCAAUGGGCGAAAGCCUGACGCAGCAACGCCGCGUGCGUGAUGAAGGCCCUCGGGUUGUAAACCGCUUUCAGCAGGGACGAAAUUGACGGUACCUGCAGAAGAAGCCCCGGCCAACUACGUGCCAGCAGCCGCGGUAACACGUAGGGGGCAAGCGUUGUCCGGAUUUAUUGGGCGUAAAGGGCUCGUAGGCGGUUCGGUAAGUCGGGUGUGAAAACUCUGGGCUCAACUCAGAGACGCCACUCGAUACUGCUGUGACUAGAGUCCGGUAGGGGAGUGUGGAAUUCCCGGUGUAGCGGUGAAAUGCGCAGAUAUCGGGAGGAACACCAGCGGCGAAGGCGGCACUCUGGGCCGGUACUGACGCUGAGGAGCGAAAGCGUGGGUAGCAAAC